rnacentral:pre_miRNA from 8 species
CUCGCUGUUCCUUUUUCCUAUGCAUAUACCUCUUUGACAUGCUGCUUUAAAGAGGCAUAGGGCAUGGGAAAAUGGGGCGGCAGAGGU